AAAGUCUGGCCUGCCCUAUGAUUUAUUAUUAAAUGGCCGCGAUAUUUUGAUCGUGCAAAGGUAGCAUAAUAAUUAGUUUUUUAAUUGGGAACUGGUAUGAAUGGUCGCACGAGAAAAAGACUGUCUCAAUUUAAUUUAAAUUAGAAUUUUAUUUUUAAGUUAAAAAGCUUAAAUAUUUUUAAAAGACGAGAAGACCCUAUAGAGUUUUAUAUAAUUUUAUAUUUUUAAAAAUUAAAGAAUUUUAGAUUUAAUUAUAUAGAAUUGUAUUUAGUUGGGGUGACUAAAAAAUUUAAUUAACUUUUUUUAUAUAUUUAACAUUGAUUUAUGAAUAAGUGAUCCA
rnacentral:rRNA from 1 species